rnacentral:lncRNA from 1 species
GUCACAUGGUGAUAAAUUCUAUGGACAAAAAUAUGGGAAGUCACUGGGGAGAACCAGAGUGAGGGUGAGGCACACAUUGCUCUUUUCAGUAGGGUGUCAGAGGUCACAUCACGAGGAAGGUGAUGUUUGAGCAAAGGUCUGAUGGAAGUGAGGGCAGGAGCGAUGUGGAUAUUAGGAAAAGAAAGUUCCAGGUAGGAAGAACAGCAGGUGAAAUGGCCAGUGAGACUGAGACACAGACAGGUGAUGCCACAGAUCACAGAGUUUUAAAAACCCAUUGUCCUUUCUCCCUCACCGGAGGAAACCACAGUCCUGAAUUCGAUGUCCAGUUUCAUGUGGAUGUUUUUAUACUUUUACUACGUCUACCUAAGAGAUUCAGCUGCACUCGGAUACGCUUGCGGCGAGCUCCCUGAAGAGUUUCCCUGUGCUUGGAGGAAGAAGUAACGUCAGUAAAUCAAAAUUUACACCCUGUUGACCUUGGAAAUACAAAGGCAACACAAUAAACCAACAUGAGUUUGCUCUGCAAGAUCCAGUUGGGAAAGGAAGAAGCAUUUAUUUCUCUUGCUUUCCACACAUACCUUUGAAGUGUCUUAGCAUCAAAAGAAACACCCAGCCUGAAACUAUAUUUUCUUUACUCAAAACGUGUGGUAGUCUCAAGAUGACAGCUAGAUUUUUCUGGCAUGAACAGUAAAGGUCAACUUUGGCAAUGUUCCAUUAAUACAUGACUGCAAACAUUUUUAUACAUAAGAGCCUACAGGCAUUCGAACAUCGACUGUAAUUGAAAACCAGAUGUUGUGAGAAAAACCCUACAAGCCGCUACUUCCAAAUUAAAAACCACCUAGGUCUUUGUCCGGGGCCUCAGUGGCCGCAGUUUCCACCUCAGACCUCUGUGGUGCUCCUGCUGGGAUUUGGAGGUUUGCUCAGAAUCUUCCAUUCAUCUAAUUAGUCCUUUGGGAGAAAGAAAGAUGAAAGGAAGGGAGGGCAGGAGACACAGAGAUGCUUCACAUGGCUGUUUAGACCACGAAUGUAGCUCAUCUAGGAAAGAACUGGUGACAUGAAAAUAAUGAAACAGAAGGAUUGAGCUCUGUGAAUUGAGAGGUUUUGUCUUCAUUUAGAUAAAGUCACCAUUAAGCCACUCCUAUUUCCUUACUCUUAACUAAGGUGGAAUCAGGAAAGGAAAUGCAAAGUUGGGUCACCUUUUCCAAAUGGCUUCAGAAAAACUUCCCUAAUCAGGGGCCCCCAAAAGGAGGAAAUAUACUGGGGUGUAUAAGGCCUUGGUAGAUGAAGUGUGAGGAAUUUCUCUCUUGCCACCUGAUUCCGGUUAGAAAUUCACUGGCUGUGUCGCUGACUGAACAAAACAGAGGAUAAUAGCCGCUGGCUGAAGAUUUUAUAAUUGAAGCUGAGACAGAGUGGGCCAUGUGCAUGUUUAGAACAGUGAUUGCAUUGUGAAUUACAACAGAAGUCCCACUUGUCAGUCACACAAACGUUUAAGAGCAUAGAAAGGCAUCUGAUUUGGGACAAGGAUGACAAAAUAGAUCUUUUGGUUUCUCCCACUUUGCCCUGAGUACAAAGGGACUGAUGACUGCUUUGUUCUGGGAUAGAGUUUUAAUUCCUCUUAGGAUCUACCCAAUUAUUAACAGAGAAAGAAAAUUCCUGUCUGGAACCACUCCUACCACUUUCCGAAAGAAGUAAUCUUUAGUCCUCAUCAUCCAAUGAGAGAAAGAGAGUAAUAUAAAUGAUAUCGUGCCAGAUUUUUUGCUUUGUUUAUAAUCAUUACUUUUCCUCAUGUAUCUUUAGUGAUGUCUCAAUGUUAAACAACUGUAGUAAACACUGUUAAGAAACAUGGCUCUAAUUUGACAAUAUCAGUCAACAUUUAAAAUGCCUCUACCCUUUGAACCAGGAAUUACAUUUUUAAGAAUUUCUUUAACAGAUAAACUGAGAGAUGUGGAAAAUGAUAUAUUUACAAAGAUAAGCUUGGCAGCAUUGUUUGUAACAUCCAAAGAGUGAAAACAACCCAAAAGUUCAUCAACAGAUCAAUUAAAUAAAUUACUGUAUGUUUACACAAGGAAAUGGAGUAUCAGAUUAAAGUCUGGUUCCAGUCCUUGUC